GGUGCGGAUGGUGGACGGACCCGAUGCGCCGUUGCGGGCGGCGGUGGUCGGCACCGGCCUGAUCGGCGGGUCGAUCCUGCUUCGGUUGCGCGCCG
rnacentral:tRNA from 1 species